rnacentral:rRNA from 1 species
AGAUUUGAUCCUGGCUCAAGAUUGAACGCUGGCGGCAUGCCUUACACAUGCAAGUCGAACGGCAGCACGGGUGCUUGCACCUGGUGGCGAGUGGCGAACGGGUGAGUAAUACAUCGGAACAUGUCCUGUAGUGGGGGAUAGCCCGGCGAAAGCCGGAUUAAUACCGCAUACGAUCUACGGAUGAAAGCGAGGGGACCUUCGGGCCUCGCGCUAUAGGGUUGGCCGAUGGCUGAUUAGCUAGUUGGUGGGGUAAAGGCCUACCAAGGCGACGAUCAGUAGCUGGUCUGAGAGGACGACCAGCCACACUGGGACUGAGACACGGCCCAGACUCCUACGGGAGGCAGCAGUGGGGAAUUUUGGACAAUGGGCGAAAGCCUGAUCCAGCAAUGCCGCGUGUGUGAAGAAGGCCUUCGGGUUGUAAAGCACUUUUGUCCGGAAAGAAAUCCUUGCUCUAAUACAGUCGGGGAUGACGUACCGGAAGAAUAAGCACCGCUAACU